GCUCAGGACGAACGCUGGCGGCGUGCAUAAUACAUGCAAGUCGAACGAACUCUGGUAUUGAUUGGUGCUUGCAUCAUGAUUUACAUUUGAGUGAGUGGCGAACUGGUGAGUAACACGUGGGAAACCUGCCCAGAAGCGGGGGAUAACACCUGGAAACAGAUGCUAAUACCGCAUAACAACUUGGACCGCAUGGUCCGAGUUUGAAAGAUGGCUUCGGCUAUCACUUUUGGAUGGUCCCGCGGCGUAUUAGCUAGAUGGUGGGGUAACGGCUCACCAUGGCAAUGAUACGUAGCCGACCUGAGAGGGUAAUCGGCCACAUUGGGACUGAGACACGGCCCAAACUCCUACGGGAGGCAGCAGUAGGGAAUCUUCCACAAUGGACGAAAGUCUGAUGGAGCAACGCCGCGUGAGUGAAGAAGGGUUUCGGCUCGUAAAACUCUGUUGUUAAAGAAGAACAUAUCUGAGAGUAACUGUUCAGGUAUUGACGGUAUUUAACCAGAAAGCCACGGCUAACUACGUGCCAGCAGCCGCGGUAAUACGUAGGUGGCAAGCGUUGUCCGGAUUUAUUGGGCGUAAAGCGAGCGCAGGCGGUUUUUUAAGUCUGAUGUGAAAGCCUUCGGCUCAACCGAAGAAGUGCAUCGGAAACUGGGAAACUUGAGUGCAGAAGAGGACAGUGGAACUCCAUGUGUAGCGGUGAAAUGCGUAGAUAUAUGGAAGAACACCAGUGGCGAAGGCGGCUGUCUGGUCUGUAACUGACGCUGAGGCUCGAAAGUAUGGGUAGCAAACAGGAUUAGAUACCCUGGUAGUCCAUACCGUAAACGAUGAAUGCUAAGUGUUGGAGGGUUUCCGCCCUUCAGUGCUGCAGCUAACGCAUAAGCAU
rnacentral:rRNA from 2 species